rnacentral:rRNA from 1 species
AUUGAACGCUGGCGGCAGGCCAAAACCAGGAAGUCGAACGAGGGGGGGACGGGUGGGUAAUGUCUGGGAAACUGCCCGGUGGAGGGGGGAAAAUACUGGAAAAGGUUGGUAAUACCGCAUAGCAUCAGGAGGGGCCAGAUGGGAUUAGCUAGUAGGUGGGGUAACGGCUCACCUAGGCGACGAUCCCUAGCUGGUCUGAGAGGAUGACCAGCCACACUGGAACUGAGACACGGUCCAGACUCCUACGGGAGGCAGCAGUGGGGAAUAUUGCACAAUGGGCGCAAGCCUGAUGCAGCCAUGCCGCGUGUGUGAAGAAGGCCUUCGGGUUGUAAAGCACUUUCAGCGGGGAGGCGUUACCCGCAGAAGAAGCACCGGCUAACUCCGUGCCAGCAGCCGCGGUAAUAC